GAUGAACGCUGGCGGCGUGCCUAAUACAUGCAAGUCGAGCGAACGGACGAGAAGCUUGCUUCUCUGAUGUUAGCGGCGGACGGGUGAGUAACACGUGGAUAACCUACCUAUAAGACUGGGAUAACUUCGGGAAACCGGAGCUAAUACCGGAUAAUAUUUUGAACCGCAUGGUUCAAAAGUGAAAGACGGUCUUGCUGUCACUUAUAGAUGGAUCCGCGCUGCAUUAGCUAGUUGGUAAGGUAACGGCUUACCAAGGCAACGAUGCAUAGCCUACCUGAGAGGGUGAUCGGCCACACUGGAACUGAGACACGGUCCAGACUCCUACGGGAGGCAGCAGUAGGGAAUCUUCCGCAAAGGGCGAAAGCCUGACGGAGCAACGCCGCGUGAGUGAUGAAGGUCUUCGGAUCGUAAAACUCUGUUAUUAGGGAAGAACAUAUGUGUAAGUAACUGUGCACAUCUUGACGGUACCUAAUCAGAAAGCCACGGCUAACUACGUG
rnacentral:rRNA from 1 species